rnacentral:rRNA from 1 species
UACGUAGGUGGCAAGCGUUAUCCGGAUUCACUGGGUUUAAAGGGUGCGUAGGUGGAGUGGUAAGUCAGUGGUGAAAUCUCCAAGCUUAACUUGGAACUGCCGUUGAUACUAUCAUUCUUGAAUAUCGUGGAGGUAAGCGGAAUAUGUCAUGUAGCGGUGAAAUGCUUAGAUAUGACAUAGAACACCGAUUGCGAAAGGCAGCUUACUACACGAUCAUUGACACUGAGGCACGAAAGCGUGGGGAUCAAACAG